AUUGAACGCUGGCGGCAGGCUUAACACAUGCAAGUCGAGCGGAGUGAUGGUGCUUGCACUAUCACUUAGCGGCGGACGGGUGAGUAAUGCUUAGGAAUCUGCCUAUUAGUGGGGGACAACAUCUCGAAAGGGAUGCUAAUACCGCAUACGUCCUACGGGAGAAAGCAGGGGAUCACUUGUGACCUUGCGCUAAUAGAUGAGCCUAAGUCGGAUUAGCUAGUUGGUGGGGUAAAGGCCUACCAAGGCGACGAUCUGUAGCGGGUCUGAGAGGAUUAUCCGCCACACUGGGACUGAGACACGGCCCAGACUCCUACGGGAGGCAGCAGUGGGGAAUAUUGGACAAUGGGGGGAACCCUGAUCCAGCCAUGCCGCGUGUGUGAAGAAGGCCUUAUGGUUGUAAAGCACUUUAAGCGAGGAGGAGGCUCUUUUGGUUAAUACCCAAGAUGAGUGGACGUUACUCGCAGAAUAAGCACCGGCUAACUCUGUGCCAGCCGCCGCAGUAAAAC
rnacentral:rRNA from 1 species